GUGCCAGCCGCCGCGGUAACACGUAAGGGGCGAGCGUUGUUCGGAAUUAUUGGGCGUAAAGGGCGUGUAGGCGGUUUUGCAAGCCUGGUGUUAAAUAUCACAGCUUAACUGUGGAGGAGCACUGGGAACUGCAGGACUGGAGUCUAGGAGGGGAAGCUGGAAUUCCAGGUGUAGGGGUGAAAUCUGUAGAUAUCUGGAAGAACACCGGUGGCGAAGGCGAGCUUCUGGCCAUAGACUGACGCUGAGGCGC
rnacentral:rRNA from 1 species